rnacentral:rRNA from 1 species
AGAGUUUGAUCAUGGCUCAGGAUGAACGCUAGCGGCAGGCUUAACACAUGCAAGUCGAGGGGUAACAUUUGUGCUUGCACAAGAUGACGACCGGCGCACGGGUGAGUAACGCGUAUGCAACCUACCUUUAACAGGGAGAUAGCCCGAAGAAAUUCGGAUUAAUACCCCAUAAUACAUUAAUAUGGCAUCAUAUAAAUGUUAAAACUUCGGUGGUUAAAGAUGGGCAUGCGUAGCAUUAGUUAGUUGGUAAGGUAACGGCUUACCAAGACAUUUAUGCUUAGGGGUUCUAAAAGGAAGAUCCCCCACACUGGUACUGAGACACGGACCAGACUCCUACGGGAGGCAGCAGUGAGGAAUAUUGGGCAAUGGGUGAGAACCUGACCCAGCCAUGCCGCGUGCAGGAUUACAGCCCUAUGGGUUUUAAACUGCUUUUAUAUGGGAAGAAAAGCGUCUACGUGUAGAUGUCUGCCGGUACCAUAUGAAUAAGCAUCGGCUAACUCCGUGCCAGCAGCCGCGGUAAUACGGAGGAUGCAAGCGUUAUCCGGAUUUAUUAGGUUUAAAGGGUGCGUAGGCUGAGAAUUAAGUCAGUGGUGAAAUCUUGUAGCUUAA